UCUCAACCACCAAACUAACCCCUUCUAAUGGAUCUCUCCCUCUCUCUCUCUCUCUCUCUCAGAUUUAAUCUGACGUCUGACUCCACAAGUAAAAAGUUUACAACUCGAGGCUACAUUAAUGUUUGGCGUCAUGGGAGAUUCGAACAAGAACUGGUCCGAAUGGCAGCAUUAAACUCAAUGCAGUGGCCGCCUCGUCUUGUCACGCCUUUCUUUGGAAAAAAAACUUUGAUUUUAAAAAAAGGUAGAUAUAAACAGUUAAUGAUGACGAUGAUGAUGAACAUGUGAACAACCACACAUGUGGGAUUUAAUGGCAGUAUACCACCUUGAGGUCUACGUCAGGAGCAAGAGAGGAAAGGAAACGAGGAGUGGAGGGAGUAGCAGCUAAGGAACAGGUGGCGGUCAAGUAAAUAAGGAGGAUGACUUUAUUAAUUACUUAUGUUGGGAUCUGUUUUAUAAUACAGAAAGUACAAGGGUCUAAAUAUAAAUAUUACAGAAUGUAGGGUUGGAUGAUUUCCCCAUCAACAACCUAUCCUAUAUAAGGGAAUAUCUAUGAAAUGAAAAAGGCAUGUUUUAGA